UACGUAGGCGGAAAAUUAAGUCAGUGGUGAAAUCCUGCAGCUCAACUGUAGAACUGUCAUUGAUACUGAUUUUCUUGAAUACAGUUGAGGUAGGCGGAAUAUGUAAUGUAGCGGUGAAAUGCUUAGAUAUUACAUAGAACACCGAUUGCGAAGGCAGCUUACUAAACUGUGAUUGACGCUGAGGCACGAAAGCGUGGGGAGCGAACAGGAUUAGAUACCCUGGUAGUCC
rnacentral:rRNA from 1 species